rnacentral:rRNA from 1 species
ACGAACGCUGGCGGCGUGCUUAACACAUGCAAGUGGUGCGACGAACCAGGGCUUGCCCUGGGGCAAAGCCGCGAACGGGUGAGUAACACGUGGGUAAUCUGCCCCGAUGACCGGGACAACCCGAGGAAACUCGGGCUAAUACCGGAUGUGGUGCCUGGACAUAAGUCCUUGCACUAAAGGAAGCUUCGGCCUCCGCAUUGGGAGGUGCCCGCGGCCCAUUAGCUUGUUGGUGGGGGUAACGGCCUACCAAGGCGACGAUGGGUAGCUGGUCUGAGAGGACGAUCAGCCACACUGGGACUGAGACACGGCCCAGACUCCUACGGGAGGCAGCAGUGGGGAAUCUUGCGCAAUGCGCGAAAGCGUGACGCAGCAACGCCGCGUGGGGGAAGACGGCCUUCGGGUUGUAAACCCCUUUCAGGAGGGACGAAGGUUCACCGGUGAAUAGCCGUGUGGAUUGACGGUACCUCCACAAGAAGCUCCGGCUAACUACGUGCCAGCAGCCGCGGUAAUACGUAGGGAGCAAGCGUUGUCCGGAAUCAUUGGGCGUAAAGCGCGCGUAGGUGGCUUUUUAAGUCCGCUGUGAAAGUCAAAGGCUCAACCUUUGAAAGCCGGUGGAUACUGGAAAGCUAGAGUACGGAAGAGGCGAGUGGAAUUCCUGGUGUAGCGGUGGAAUGCGCAGAUAUCAGGAGGAACACCAAUAGCGAAGGCAGCUCGCUGGGACGUUACUGACACUGAGGCGCGAAAGCGUGGGGAGCGAACAGGAUUAGAUACCCUGGUAGUCCACGCCGUAAACGAUUGGGCUACUAGGUGUGGGGUGUCCGACUCACGGAUCCGCUGCCGUCGCUAACGCAUUAAGUACCCCGCCUGGGGAGUACGGCCGCAAGGUUAAAACUCAAAGGAAUUGACGGGGGCCCGCACAAGCAGCGGAGCAGUGUUGGCUUAAUUCGAUGCUAACGCGAAGAACCUUACCUGGGUUGACAUGUCAGGGGGGAAACACUAGAGAUUUGUCCUUCGGGGACACGUCACAGGUGGUGCAUGGCUGUCGUCAGCUCGUGUCCGUGAGAUGUUGGGUUAAGUCCCGCAACGAGCGCAACCCCGUAUCCUAUGUUGCCAGCGAUUCAGUGCGGGGACUCAUAGGAAGACUGCCGGUGACAACUCGGAGGAAGGUGGGGACGACGUCAAGUCAUCAUGCCCCUUACGUCCAGGGCUGCAACACGGCUACAAUGGCCGGUACAAAGGGCUGCAACUCGUGAGAGUGAGCCAAUCCCAUAAAGCCGGCCUCAGUUCGGAUCGGAGUCUGCAACUCGCCUGCCGUGAAGUCUGGAGUUCGCUAGUAAUCGCCGAUCAGCACUGCCUGGGUGAAUACGUUCCCGGGCCUUGUACACACCGCCCGUCACACCACGAAAGUCGGCAACACCCGAAGCCGGUGGCCUAACCCUGUAGGAGGAGCCGUCGAAGGUGGGGUCGGUGAUUGGGGUG